GAUUUGGCAAAACCUACAAUUUAGUCCCUCCAUCCAAUUGAUAGUUAAGUAUGGCAAUGGUGAUCAAAAUGCCCUCAACUCUAUAUAUUUCCUAGGAGAGAAAAAGGGAAGCCACGAGUUUCCUUGCCCUGUGUAAAGUAACAAGUUUGAAUCAAUCUUAGGGAAGGGGAUUGAAAUAGAAUUCUUGGAGAACUAAUGAGAAACAGUGAGAUUAGAUGA
rnacentral:misc_RNA from 1 species